GGGAACAGCUGUGGGGUUUCUAAGAAUGGCCGGAGAGAUCCCUGUGACCCAUGUGGAGCAGCUUGCAUAAGGUUUGCUCCGAAACGCUGAUUUAUCGAAAGCCCCUCUUGUCAGACUGCAAGGUGUUGGGAAUACACCAAGGAAAAAGAAGCUUGGGGGAGAGGAAGACCUGCCAACAAAUAACGGCAAUACAGUGUGAUGAGAAAAUUGAGGCCUAAAUGAGUUCAUCGACCUGCCCAGGAUCACAAUGCUGG